rnacentral:rRNA from 1 species
GUAUCAGGCGCCCGCCGGAGGACCAAACCAAACUCUUGUAUUCUAAAGAAUCUUCUGAGUAACCAUAAGUAAUAAAUUAAAACUUUCAACAACGGAUCUCUUGGUUCUGGCAUCGAUGAAGAACGCAGCGAAAUGCGAUAAGUAAUGUGAAUUGCAGAAUUCAGUGAAUCAUCGAAUCUUUGAACGCACAUUGCGCCCGCCAGUACUCUGGCGGGCAUGCCUGUUCGAGCGUCAUUUCAACCCUCAAGCUCUGCUUGGUGUUGGGGAUCGGCGUAGUGCCUUCGGGCGCUGCCGUCCCCUAAAUCUAGUGGCGGUCCCGCUGUAGCCUCCUCUGCGUAGUAGUUUUCUCCUCGCAAUGGAAUCUCGGCGGUGCCUUGCCGUUAAACCCCCAACUUCUGAAAGGUUGACCUCGAAUCAGGUAGGAAUACCCGCUGAACUUAAGCAUAUCAAUAAGCGGAGGA